rnacentral:rRNA from 1 species
UACGAAGGGGGCUAGCGUUGCUCGGAAUCACUGGGCGUAAAGCGCACGUAGGCGGGUCUUUAAGUCAGGGGUGAAAUCCCGGAGCUCAACUCCGGAACUGCCUUUGAUACUGGAGAUCUUGAGUCCGGGAGAGGUGAGUGGAACUCCGAGUGUAGAGGUGAAAUUCGUAGAUAUUCGGAAGAACACCAGUGGCGAAGGCGGCUCACUGGCCCGGUACUGACGCUGAGGUGCGAAAGCGUGGGGAGCAAACAGG